rnacentral:rRNA from 1 species
UACGAAGGGGACUAGCGUUGCUCGGAAUCACUGGGCGUAAAGGGUGCGUAGGCGGGUCUUUAAGUCAGGGGUGAAAUCCUGGAGCUCAACUCCAGAACUGCCUUUGAUACUGAAGAUCUUGAGUCCGGGAGAGGUGAGUGGAACUGCGAGUGUAGAGGUGAAAUUCGUAGAUAUUCGCAAGAACACCAGUGGCGAAGGCGGCUCACUGGCCCGGUACUGACGCUGAGGCACGAAAGCGUGGGGAGCAAACAGG